rnacentral:misc_RNA from 1 species
UUCUCUUCAGAGUACAAUUGUGGC